UUUCGUCUUUUGCUUACUUCCUGUCAUUUUUUUUUUGUUUCUUUUCCACCACAUCUCUGCAAUUUUUUUUUCUCCUGUCAAAACCUAGCUUUUUUAUUUUUUAUUUUUUCUUCCUUUCUUUCAUCUUUUGCUCACUUCCUUUCAUUUUUUUUUUCCUUUCUUUUCCACCACAUCUCUGCAUUUUUUUUUCCCUUGUCAAAACCCAACUUUUUUUUUUCUUCCUUUAUUUCGUCUUUUUCUCACUUCCUUUCUUUCGUCUUUUGGUCACUUCCUUUCAGAUUUUAUUUUAUUUUUCCUUUCUUUUCCACCACCUCUCUGUAAUUUUUUUCCCCUGUUAAAAUCCAGUUUUUUUUUUUUUUUAUUCCUUUCUUUUGUCUUUUCCUCACUUCUUCUCUUCUCCUUCAUCAAGACAUGUUACGUCUUUUUUUUUUUUUCUUCCUUUCUUUGUCUUCUCCUCUCUUCGUUUUUAUGUUUUAUUUAUUUAUUUAUUUAUUUUUUGUUCUGAGCCAGCCAUUAAUCAAUGGAUGGAAGGUCUUAUUUGUAUGCAGAAAGCUACAAAGGCAGUGCCGAUAUGGGAAAAACUUAACUAGCAAGUUAUAAAUUUGGAAUGCAAAGGAAGGACAAGAAAAAGUUGCAGUAUGAUUUGAAGGACCUGCAAGUAUUGAAAAGUUCAGCAUUUUUUUUCUAUUAAGAAUUUAAUUUCUUAUUUGUUUAGGUUGGAUAAGAUUGUGCAGAAGUGAAAUAUUAGUUUGGAAUUCGCUCUUUUUAAUGCAAAAUAUGAAGAUAAUUUGGUCAGGCUCAAGCUAUUUUGUGGUGCCAUAGAUAGGUAGGAAGGAGCAAGUGUUUUAAGAUGGUUUAUUAUGAUAAGAAAAAUGAAAGGCAAUGUUUGAAUUGGAAGGUACCAUAUCAAAAAUAAAAGUGAUAUUCUACCCCUUUUUUUUCAUAGUGAAGAAAAGAGGAUAUCGACGAAUUCUACUUUUAACCUUAUUUUGAUUGUUUUAGGUGCUUUGUUCUCAAUUUCAAGUUGAAUUAGGAAAUCUUCAAGAUGCAGCUUUUCUUAAUGCUAUCGUAAAGGUUUACUGCACCCAUACUGUACCUAAAUAUUCUCUUCCUUGGCAAAAACAAAGACAAUAUGCAAGUACUGGCAGGCAAGUGCAUUUAUGAUUGGGGAUGGGAAACUAUUGGCAAAUGCACAUUGUGUUGAACAUGAUACACAAGUUAAGGUGAAAAGAAGGGGAGAUGAUACCAAAUACGUUACCAAGGAUUUGGUUACUGUUGUAGGAUAUCCCCUUAGAGGAGACACCAUUUCAGUAAAAAAGGUGUCGUUUCACGUAGAGAGGUGUGAUUCUUCGUACUAGCACACAAUCAUAUGAUUUAUCAAUUCUAUAAUAUGUCAUUAUCUUAUUUGGAAUUGCUACUCAUAUUCAUUUUCAUGUCUUUAAAUAAGAUUUUAUGCUAGCUAAAAACUUAAAAUAUCAAGUUUCUUAUAAAAUUUUUUCUGAUUAGGUAACAUCAUAUGCUCAUGGGUCAUCCGAUUUGUUGGGCAUUGAAAUUGAUGCAACAAUAAAUCCUGGUUCAUUUGUACCUGAAAUUUACAAUUUUACUCCUUUCUUUAUUGAUACUUCUCCAAUUUAUGUAUUUUCCUUCCAGAUGGAAGUCCUUUCUCUAUGGACUUCCAAAUGAGAUAUGGAAAGUUAAUCUACCUAUUGAAGAGGUGCCUUCUGAGCUUCCAGAACCAGCCUUAGGCAUAAAUCACGGUAGGGAUGGGAUGCAAAAGAUGGAUUGGUUGUCACUAGUUUCCGACUCAAUUGUUUAGCAAAUAUUUAUUUUAGAACAAGUUAUCCUUUUCCGGUGCUGUUUCACCUGUAAUAGUGGAAUUGAGUGUCCAAUUCAUACUGAAAACU